rnacentral:rRNA from 1 species
AGAACGAACGCUGGCGGCAUGCCUAAUACAUGCAAGUCGAACGAACUCUUCGGAGUUAGUGGCGCACGGGUGCGUAACGCGUGGGAAUCUGCCCCUUGGUUCGGAAUAACAGUUGGAAACGACUGCUAAUACCGGAUGAUGACGAAAGUCCAAAGAUUUAUCGCCAAGGGAUGAGCCCGCGUAGGAUUAGCUAGUUGGUGAGGUAAAGGCUCACCAAGGCAACGAUCCUUAGCUGGUCUGAGAGGAUGAUCAGCCACACUGGGACUGAGACACGGCCCAGACUCCUACGGGAGGCAGCAGUAGGGAAUAUUGGACAAUGGGCGAAAGCCUGAUCCAGCAAUGCCGCGUGAGUGAUGAAGGCCGUUAGGUUGUAAGUCUCUUUUACCCGAGGAUGAUAAUAGACUAGAGUACGGAAGAAGUACGACCCGG